rnacentral:rRNA from 1 species
AACGAACGCUGGCGGCAGGCCUAACACAUGCAAGUCGAGCGCGACCUUCGGGUUGAGCGGCGGACGGGUUAGUAACGCGUGGGAAUAUGCCCAGACCUACGGAAUAGCCUUUGGAAACGAAGAGUAAUACCGUAUACGCCCUUCGGGGGAAAGAUUUAUCGGAUUUGGAUUAGCCCGCGUUAGAUUAGAUAGUUGGUGGGGUAACGGCCUACCAAGUCUACGAUCUAUAGCUGGUUUUAGAGGAUGAUCAGCAACACUGGGACUGAGACACGGCCCAGACUCCUACGGGAGGCAGCAGUGGGGAAUCUUGGACAAUGGGCGCAAGCCUGAUCCAGCCAUGCCGCGUGAGUGAUGAAGGCCUUAGGGUCGUAAAGCUCUUUCGCCAGGGAUGAUAAUGACAGUACCUGGUAAAGAAACCCCGGCUAACUCCGUGCCAGCAGCCGCGGUAAUACGGAGGGGGUUAGCGUUGUUCGGAAUUACUGGGCGUAAAGUGCGCGUAGGCGGAUCGGAAAGUUGGGGGUGAAAUCCCGGGGCUCAACCCCGGAACUGCCUCCAAAACUAUCGGUCUAGAGUUCGAGAGAGGUGAGUGGAACUCCGAGUGUAGAGGUGAAAUUCGUAGAUAUUCGGAAGAACACCAGUGGCGAAGGCGGCUCACUGGCUCGAUACUGACGCUGAGGUGCGAAAGUGUGGGGAGCAAACAGGAUUAGAUACCCUGGUAGUCCACACCGUAAACGAUGAAUGCCAGUCGUCGGGCAGUAUACUGUUCGGUGACACACCUAACGGAUUAAGCAUUCCGCCUGGGGAGUACGGUCGCAAGAUUAAAACUCAAAGGGAAUUGAC